CAAUGGAGAUUUUGCUUUGGCUUCUUUCACACCUGUUUGAGAAUGGUGGCUCACAUAAAUAAAAAAGACACUUCCUUGGAUUUUUCCAGAGUUUUACCAUUUCUUUUGCUGCCAGUUAGCCACUGCACCGAGCAUCUUACCACACUCUGCCGAUCUUCUCGGCUGGAGUCGGAGAUAUUUUAGAGGAAGUGAUAAUCGGACAUGGUGUCUUCUCCUCGAACGUGCUCAUCUUCUGCAACUACAUGGACUACAACAAAGACGUAAUCACUCUUCAGCUCAGACACUUGUGUGUGCGUGCGUGUGUGUGUGUGUGUGUGUGUGUGUCAGGGUUUUGCAUGUGCAUUUAAGGGCGAGUUGAUCCACACGUUUAAUAAAAGAGAGGGAGCUCUGCAGAGCAUACACCAGGUUGUACAAUGUGCUGCUGCUGGGAGACUCACUGUGAGACCUAGACAUGGCCGACGGCGUGCAGGACCUCGAAAACAUCCUGUUCAUCAGCUACCUCAAUGACAAGAAACAUCACCUGCCCGAGGACACGCGUGUUGACACGUCUCACUGUCAGAAACAUCACUUGCCCGAGGACACGCGUGUUGAGACGUCUCACUGUCAGAAACUCGACCUGCCCGAGGACACGGUUUGACACGUCUCACUGUCAGAAACGUCAGAAAUGUUCCUCAGCUAAAGGGACACCAGCAUCCCAGCCACUGCCCAAACAGGAAUAAGCUAAGGGUCAAAGGUCCUGUGAUUGGACGAUUUGUCCGCCAGUCAUCAUUACACAAACCACUCCAAGAGCCAAUCCGGUGUUACUGGCCAGAUCAAAAAGAAAUAAAGAUGUGGGAAUGGACAAGAAAGGCAGCUCUCGUGACAGCAUUAAAGAUACAAGAGUGCCCAACACUGUCCCAAAGUGCUUAUCUACAAUGGAUCCAUGUUCCGGUCUUGGUGAACCUUACAGCAUGAUCUCCAGACCCAGAUGAACAGUGUAACAGAGAGUGUAACAGGAAUGUAUAAGGUCUUCUUGACAACAGCGUUCCUGAGAUAUCACAGUGUUUUUGCAACCAGUUCAUCACCUCCUCAGAGAACAUCUUCAAGUAAAUAAUCCCAAGGAUUUGAAAGCAUUUGAAAUUUUUUUUGAAAGGAUUCUGAGCAUGGACAAUUUGGGAAUAUUACAGAAUUUUAUUAAAAUAAACGAAGGACUUUAAGGACUUUUAGGUUUAUCACAUAGAUACCAUGGGGAGAAUGGCGAGGACUGGAAAGAGAACGCUGUGACAACUACAUUUGUUUUACUUGGAAAAACAACCAUUAUUUGGGGCACCCCAAACUAAUUAUGGGGCUUGUGAAAUCAAUCUAACGCAUGUCCACAAUAAUUUUACAAGAGAGUUUUAAACAGGAAAACAUGUCACCACAACUCUUGAUCACUUUUCUAUCUAAUGAUAACCAAAUGUUAACACUUUGUCCGUUUAAUGAUACUUUACUUUGUAUAAUACCAGAGACAGCUUGGUUCAUAGGAAAAUAUUACUUUCUAUAUGUAAAUUUCACCCUACAGACAAUGUCAUUGGAUCCAGAGGAUUCAACCAACUAGUCUUUGAGGAAGAUGUCCCAGAAUUUGAGUUACCAAAAUAUAUAAUAUAUUUUAUAUAAUAUGUUAGUGUCAUUAUAUCAUAAUGCAAAGAAAGGAUGACCAUAUUGUCAAAGCUCAACAAGGUCUUGUAGGAAAGGAUAAUGUUUUGACUAAACAAAUGCGUGGUGGUGAUUUGGUUAUUGCCUAUUCUGAUCUGAUUUGGGAUGUAACCUUCAAAACUGCAGUUUGUGUAUGCAUCUUUCACAUUCUUUGUCAAUGCAUUAUGUUAUGCUGUAUGUGUACCAUGUUGAGACGGCAGACUGCAGAUAAUUCAAUGAUCAAUGUGGGACGUUCCCGUUGGCUGAGAUGGUUUCUGAAUGUCUCUGCUGCAAACCCAAGUAAUAUUUUACAGGUUUCGAUGACGGGUAAGAAGAUCCUAGGCAGGGCUUCACCGCCACUGGGCACCUGCCCAAAAUUGGGAGGUGUGAUCUGUAUUAAGGAAGUGAUGUGAUGCUUCAGGGCCAAAAGCAUCAAAGGGGGACUGUAAGAAAUUACAGAAACUGCAUCCAAAUUGCACUCCAAUGUACACAUCUAAAAGAGCUCAUUCCAAAAAAGGUUUAAGUAUCAUAAGAUAAUACGUUUAGGACUUUAAGCAUAUAAACUUGAUUCAAUCGUUAGUAUGGGAGCGGCAGCAGGACAUCAUGA